rnacentral:rRNA from 1 species
GACGAACGCUGGCGGCGUGCUUAACACAUGCAAGUCGAACGGAAAGGCCCUGCUUUUGUGGGGUGCUCGAGUGGCGAACGGGUGAGUAACACGUGAGUAACCUGCCCUUGACUUUGGGAUAACUUCAGGAAACUGGGGCUAAUACCGGAUAGGAGCUCCUGCUGCAUGGUGGGGGUUGGAAAGUUUCGGCGGUUGGGGAUGGACUCGCGGCUUAUCAGCUUGUUGGUGGGGUAGUGGCUUACCAAGGCUUUGACGGGUAGCCGGCCUGAGAGGGUGAGCGGCCACAUUGGGACUGAGAUACGGCCCAGACUCCUACGGGAGGCAGCAGUGGGGAAUAUUGCACAAUGGGCGGAAGCCUGAUGCAGCAACGCCGCGUGCGGGAUGACGGCAUUCGCGUUGUAAACCGAUUUCGCCUGUGACGAAGCGUGAGUGACGGUAAUGGGUAAAGAAGCACCGGCUAACUACGUG